UCAAACUUGGUCAUUUAGAGGAAGUAAAAGUCGUAACAAGGUCUCCGUAGGUGAACCUGCGGAGGGAUCAUUAUUAGAGCUUAAAAACUCAAAACCCACUGUUAUUAGUACCUGUUGUUGCUUUGGCAGGCGAUUCCAGGGCGGAAUCAUUGCUGGCUUUCAGCGCCUGCCAGAGGACACCAAAACUCUGUUAUAGUGUUACUCUGAGUCAAAGACCAAAUCAUUAAAAUCUUUAACAACGGAUCUCUUGGUUCUGGCAUCGAUGAAGAACGCAGC
rnacentral:misc_RNA from 1 species